rnacentral:tRNA from 1 species
GCCCACCUGGCUCAGUCGGUAGAACAUCUGAUUCUUGAUCUCUGGGUUGUGAGUUCGAGCCUCAUGUUGGGUA